UGGGGAAUAUUGGACAAUGGGCGAAAGCCUGAUCCAGCCAUGCCGCGUGUGUGAAGAAGGUCUUCGGAUUGUAAAGCACUUUAAGUUGGGAGGAAGGGCAGUAAGCGAAUACCUUGCUGUUUUGACGUUACCGACAGAAUAAGCACCGGCUAACUCUGUGCCAGCAGCCGCGGUAAUACAGAGGGUGCAAGCGUUAAUCGGAAUUACUGGGCGUAAAGCGCGCGUAGGUGGUUCGUUAAGUUGAAUGUGAAAGCCCCGGGCUCAACCUGGGAACUGCAUCCAAAACUGGCGAGCUAGAGUAGGGCAGAGGGUGGUGGAAUUUCCUGUGUAGCGGUGAAAUGCGUAGAUAUAGGAAGGAACACCAGUGGCGAAGGCGACCACCUGGGCCCAUACUGACACUGAGGUGCGAAAGCGUGGGGAGCAAACAGG
rnacentral:rRNA from 1 species